rnacentral:sRNA from 1 species
AAGGUGCGCCGGGGAACCAAGAACUACUGGGGUGAAUCGCCCGCGGGUCGCAACGAUCCGAGGGCGUAGGACAGACUUCCGUGUCCGAACCCGUCAGCUAACUCGGUCGGUGUCGCAGGAAGAAA